rnacentral:tRNA from 1 species
GCCUCGGUAGCGUAGUGGUCAAGACGCUCGCCUGGUAAACAGGAGGGCGUGGGUUCGAUCCCAGCCGAGGCG